CAAGGGGACCGGAUGGCCGCGCCCACUAGGAGUCCGUUGAUGGAGUCGCCUCGUAUUGGACUUUCUCAACGGGCUCCUGGGGGUGAGGAAAGUCCGAGCUCCACAGGACAGGAUGCUGGGUAACGCCCAGGCGGGGUAACCCGACGGAAAGUGCCACAGAGAACAGACCGCCAGCGGGCCGCGCUCUGCGCGGUUGCGGGCAAGGGUGAAACGGUGGGGUAAGAGCCCACCGCGUCCCCGGCGACGGGGGCGGCACGGCAAACCCCAUCCGGAGCAAGGCCGAAUAGGAGCGGAGAGGUGGUCCGCCUCGCCAACGCCCCGCAGGGGCGAACGCUCGGGUAGGCCGCGUCGAGGUAUCGGGCAACCGAUGCCCCAGAGAAAUGGCCAUCCGUGCGAGACCUGGUCUCGCACGACAGAACUCGGCUUACAGGUCCCCUUGCCAU
rnacentral:RNase_P_RNA from 1 species